rnacentral:piRNA from 1 species
UACUACUUUUAUUUCAAUUAU